rnacentral:rRNA from 1 species
CAUUUAAAGAAAGCGUAAUAGCUCACUGGUCGAGUCGGCCUGCGCGGAAGAUGUAACGGGGCUAAACCAUGCACCGAAGCUGCGGCAGCGAACGUAUCACCCAAGACAACUUUACGGAGUUGACGAUUGACGGAGCGAAGCGACGUCAAAGCGUUCAUUAAAGUCGAGUUGGCUUAGGGAUACGUUCGUUGGGUAGGGGAGCGUUCUGUAAGCCUGUGAAGGUGGCCUGUGAGGGUUGCUGGAGGUAUCAGAAGUGCGAAUGCUGACAUAAGUAACGA